UGGGCGGACACCCGGGAGGCCGACGGGAACUA
rnacentral:scRNA from 1 species